UGACCCGAAACACACCUCCAAACUGUGUACGGGCUAUUUGACCAAGGAGAGUGAUUGAGUGCUGCGUCUCCACAAUCAUUCAACCUCAAACCAGUUGAGAUGGUUUGGAAUGAGCUGGACCGCAGAGUGAAGGAAAAGCAGCCAACAAGUACAUAUGUGGGAACUCCUUCAAGACUGUUGGAAAAUAAUUCCAGGUUAUUGUCCUGCUGAACGGUGAAUUUGUCUCCCAGUGUCUUUUGGAAAGCAGACUGAACCAGGGUUUCGUCUAGGAUUUUGCCUGUGCUUAGCUCUAUUCUGUUUCUUUUUAUUCUAAAAAUCUCCCUACUCCAAGCUGAUGACAAGAAUACCCAUAACAUGAUGCAGCCACCACCAUGCUUGAAAAUAUGUACUGUAGAGUGGAACUCAGUGAUGUGUUGGAUUUUCCCCAAACAUAAUCCUUUGUAUUCUAGACAAAGUUAAUUUAAUUGCCAAAUGUUUGCAGUUUACUUUAGUGCCUUAUUGCAAGGCAUGCAUGUUAUUUUUAUUCUGUACAGGCUUCCUUCUUUUCAAUCUGUUAUUUAGGUUACUAUUGUGCAGUAACUAUAAUGUUGUUGAUCCAUCCUCAGUUUUCACCUAUCACAGCCAUUAAACUCUUUAACUGUUUUAAAGUCA